AGAGUUUGAUCCUGGCUCAGGAUGAACGCUGGCGGCGUGCCUUACACAUGCAAGUUGAGCGAGAAUUUUUCGAUGGGGCAACCCAUUGGAAAGUUCUAGCGGCAAACGGGUGAGUAAUAGAUGGGUAACCUACCCUAAAGACGGGGAUAGCCUUCUGAAAAGAAGGGUAAUAUCCGAUAAUGUUGACAGACUUAGGUUUGUCAAAGAAAGAUGGCCUCUGUUUCAUGCUAUCACUUUUGGACGGGCUCAUCUCCUAUCAGCUAGUUGGUGAGGUAAUGGCUUACCAAGGCAACGACGGGUAGCUGGUCUGAGAGGAUGGACAGCCACAUUGGGACUGAGACACGGCCCAGACUCCUACGGGAGGCAGCAGUGGGGAAUAUUGGUCAAUGGGCGAAAGCCUGAACCAGCGACGUCGCGUGGAGGAUGGAGGCCGCAAGGUUGUAAACUCCUUUUAUUAAGGAAAAAGGGAUAGAUCUCUAAUAGGGAACUAUUCUUGAUGGUACUUUUUGAAUAAGCCCCAGCUAACUACGUGCCAGCAGCUGCGGUAAUACGUAGGGGGCGAGCGUUAUCCGGAAUUACUGGGUGUAAAGGGUAUGCAGGCGGAUUGACAAGUUGGAUGUAAAAACUCAGAGCUUAACUCUGAGCUCGCAUUCAAAACUGUUGAUCUAGAGAGCAGUAGA
rnacentral:rRNA from 1 species